GGACGGAAGGGGUGCUUGUACACUUAACUAUAAAUACUGCUGUAUUUGUGACUAUAAGUUAACGUGUUUGAGGUAAUUGCUUAUUAUCCAAAUUUUUAUCUGGUAAGUUUUUCAGUUAUUGCUUAUCAUCCAUCUUUUUGUCUGGUAAGUUUUUCUGCAUAAGUAAACUUUUAGUAUGACAUUAACAGGAACAUUGUCAAAUCAUUUUGUCGUUUGAACUAGGAGGCUAGGACGUAAACAAUUUCAUGUAAAUUCAAGUGUAAAUAGUAAUUUUAAUAAUAACGUUUUAAAGAUCGAUUAUACAUGCUCAAAUCAAUGCAUUAGUGAAGAAUAUUCGAUUGAUAUCAAAAUUUCCUAAUAGUCGCACAAAUUAAGCAUACAUUUUUUUCCUCACAGAAAGAAUGUCGUCAAAGCUGUCUGGUGUGCUUGCUCUAAUAUGUGUUUUAUGGUUAGAGAACACUAAUGCCACGG
rnacentral:lncRNA from 1 species